rnacentral:rRNA from 1 species
UUUUCCACCGGAGCUUGCUCCACCGGAAAAAGAAGAGUGGCGAACGGGUGAGUAACACGUGGGUAACCUGCCCAUCAGAAGGGGAUAACACUUGGAAACAGGUGCUAAUACCGUAUAACAAUCGAAACCGCAUGGUUUUGAUUUGAAAGGCGCUUUCGGGUGUCGCUGAUGGAUGGACCCGCGGUGCAUUAGCUAGUUGGUGAGGUAACGGCUCACCAAGGCCACGAUGCAUAGCCGACCUGAGAGGGUGAUCGGCCACAUUGGGACUGAGACACGGCCCAAACUCCUACGGGAGGCAGCAGUAGGGAAUCUUCGGCAAUGGACGAAAGUCUGACCGAGCAACGCCGCGUGAGUGAAGAAGGUUUUCGGAUCGUAAAACUCUGUUGUUAGAGAAGAACAAGGAUGAGAGUAACUGUUCAUCCCUUGACGGUAUCUAACCAGAAAGCCACGGCUAACUACGUGCCAGCAGCCGCGGUAAUACGUAGGUGGC